AAAUUGAAGAGUUUGAUCAUGGCUCAGAUUGAACGCUGGCGGCAGGCCUAACACAUGCAAGUCGAACGGUAACAGGAAACAGCUUGCUGUUUCGCUGACGAGUGGCGGACGGGUGAGUAAUGUCUGGGAAACUGCCUGAUGGAGGGGGAUAACUACUGGAAACGGUAGCUAAUACCGCAUAAUGUCGCAAGACUAAAGAGGGGGACCUUCGGGCCUCUUGCCAUCGGAUGUGCCCAGAUGGGAUUAGCUAGUA
rnacentral:rRNA from 2 species